rnacentral:rRNA from 1 species
UACGGGGGGGGCAAGCGUUGUUCGGAAUUACUGGGCGUAAAGGGCUCGUAGGCGGCCAACUAAGUCGGAUGUGAAAUCCCCAGGCUUAACCUGGGAACUGCAUCCGAUACUGGAUGGCUUGAAUUCGGGAGAGGGAUGCAGAAUUCCAGGUGUAGCGGUGAAAUGCGUAGAUAUCUGGAGGAAUACCGGUGGCGAAGGCGGCAUCCUGGACCAACACUGACGGCUGAUGAGCGAAAGCCAGGGGAGCAAAGCGGG